rnacentral:rRNA from 1 species
AGCCCAGAGCCUGAAUCAGUGUGUGUGUUAGUGGAAGCGUCUGGAAAGGCGCGCGAUACAGGGUGACAGCCCCGUACACAAAAAUGCACAUGCUGUGAGCUCGAUGAGUAGGGCGGGACACGUGGUAUCCUGUCUGAAUAUGGGGGGACCAUCCUCCAAGGCUAAAUACUCCUGACUGACCGAUAGUGAACCAGUACCGUGAGGGAAAGGCGAAAAGAACCCCGGCGAGGGGAGUGAAAAAGAACCUGAAACCGUGUACGUACAAGCAGUGGGAGCCUCUUUUAUGGGGUGACUGCGUACCUUUUGUAUAAUGGGUCAGCGACUUAUAUUCUGUAGCAAGGUUAACCGAAUAGGGGAGCCGAAGGGAAACCGAGUCUUAACUGGGCGUUAAGUUGCAGGGUAUAGACCCGAAACCCGGUGAUCUAGCCAUGGGCAGGUUGAAGGUUGGGUAACACUAACUGGAGGACCGAACCGACUAAUGUUGAAAAAUUAGCGGAUGACUUGUGGCUGGGGGUGAAAGGCCAAUCAAACCGGGAGAUAGCUGGUUCUCCCCGAAAGCUAUUUAGGUAGCGCCUCGUGAAUUCAUCUCCGGGGGUAGAGCACUGUUUCGGCAAGGGGGUCAUCCCGACUUACCAACCCGAUGCAAACUGCGAAUACCGGAGAAUGUUAUCACGGGAGACACACGGCGGGUGCUAACGUCCGUCGUGAAGAGGGAAACAACCCAGACCGCCAGCUAAGGUCCCAAAGUCAUGGUUAAGUGGGAAACGAUGUGGGAAGGCCCAGACAGCCAGGAUGUUGGCUUAGAAGCAGCCAUCAUUUAAAGAAAGCGUAAUAGCUCACUGGUCGAGUCGGCCUGCGCGGAAGAUGUAACGGGGCUAAACCAUGCACCGAAGCUGCGGCAGCGACGCUUAUGCGUUGUUGGGUAGGGGAGCGUUCUGUAAGCCUGUGAAGGUGUGCUGUGAGGCAUGCUGGAGGUAUCAGAAGUGCGAAUGCUGACAUAAGUAACGAUAAAGCGGGUGAAAAGCCCGCUCGCCGGAAGACCAAGGGUUCCUGUCCAACGUUAAUCGGGGCAGGGUGAGUCGACCCCUAAGGCGAGGCCGAAAGGCGUAGUCGAUGGGAAACAGGUUAAUAUUCCUGUACUUGGUGUUACUGCGAAGGGGGGACGGAGAAGGCUAUGUUGGCCGGGCGACGGUUGUCCCGGUUUAAGCGUGUAGGCUGGUUUUCCAGGCAAAUCCGGAAAAUCAAGGCUGAGGCGUGAUGACGAGGCACUACGGUGCUGAAGCAACAAAUGCCCUGCUUCCAGGAAAAGCCUCUAAGCAUCAGGUAACAUCAAAUCGUACCCCAAACCGACACAGGUGGUCAGGUAGAGAAUACCAAGGCGCUUGAGAGAACUCGGGUGAAGGAACUAGGCAAAAUGGUGCCGUAACUUCGGGAGAAGGCACGCUGAUAUGUAGGUGAAGUCCCUUGCGGAUGGAGCUGAAAUCAGUCGAAGAUACCAGCUGGCUGCAACUGUUUAUUAAAAACACAGCACUGUGCAAACACGAAAGUGGACGUAUACGGUGUGACGCCUGCCCGGUGCCGGAAGGUUAAUUGAUGGGGUCAGCGCAAGCGAAGCUCUUGAUCGAAGCCCCGGUAAACGGCGGCCGUAACUAUAACGGUCCUAAGGUAGCGAAAUUCCUUGUCGGGUAAGUUCCGACCUGCACGAAUGGCGUAAUGAUGGCCAGGCUGUCUCCACCCGAGACUCAGUGAAAUUGAACUCGCUGUGAAGAUGCAGUGUACCCGCGGCAAGACGGAAAGACCCCGUGAACCUUUACUAUAGCUUGACACUGAACAUUGAGCCUUGAUGUGUAGGAUAGGUGGGAGGCUU